UGUUAUAGUAAAAAUGGCUGUUCACGUUUACUCAGUUGAUGAUGUGAAACAGUAUUUUUUUGAUGGAAUAAUUAAGUUUUUUAACUCACGGCGUAUAGCUUUCUUAAAAUAUGCAAAAAACUUUAAACUUUGUGAUGGUAAAUUGUACUACAUAAAAUCAUCUAAGAAGCUCCUAGUUCUUUUAACAGAUCAUGAAAAAAAGUUGGCUUUCAGAGAUGUCCAUGAUUCUGAUCAUGGGGCACAUGUUGGUCUCAACAAUACUAGAGCUAAACUAAAAAGUUCUUUUUACUGGCUAGGUAUGGUUAGCGAUAUUACCAAAUGGAUCAAGGGAU